UUGUUUUUGAGCAAUUUUAUGAAUAGCUAAAGUGGCUGGUUGUGUUUGAGACUAAAAGCCUGUUGGAGAAUUAGGCUAACAAAGGGUGAAGGUGAAGAUCAUUAGAGGUUUUAGAGCUGGCUGAGACGGGUUGCUGGGGUUGUGUAACUGUGCCUAGAGGGCGGGGUUCCUGUACAUUCCUACUUCACCAGAUAACCUGCCCCCAGCACCACUCCAGCUUCUACCAGACAGAUGGAACUCUCCAACAAGAAAAUCUGCGCAGCCAUUCCAACAAGCAGGAGUCUGCUUGAGGGUGUCAGAAGGAUGCCGAGGAAAAAGACUGGAGGACUGAGAGCGCUCUCCCCCCAAGAAUGACGGGAUAAACCGAAUAUCCCAGUGAAGUGAUGAACUACAGGCACCACGUUUCUUCAUGAAAUUUUUAGAAAGAGGAUUUUUCAUUGGUCAGUAUAAGGAAGGCUACGAUGAUCAUCCACUUCACAUCGAAUGCUAUAUAAUCAACAGUGUGCUGUUUUCAACCAGAGAUUUCCAAGAUCCUCCAGACUCUAAACUACUGAAUAGGUUCCUAAGUCGAUCCAGAUCUCACGUGUCUGAACUGUUGGUCAUCUUCCCACCCUCUAGCUCUACAGGUAAAGAGGAGAUAAUAAU